AUUGAACGCUGGCGGCAGGCCUAACACAUGCAAGUCGAGCGAGCGGCGGACGGGUGAGUAAUGUAUGGGGACUGCCCGAUAGAGGGGGAUAACUACUGGAAACGGUAGCUACUACCGCAUAUCAUCGGAUAACCCAUAUGGGAGUGGCUCGUAGGUGAGGUAAUGGCUCACUUAGGCGACGCUCCCUAGCUGGUCUGAGAGGAUGAUCAGCAACACUGGGACUGGGACACGGCCCAGACUCCUACGGAGGCAGCAGGGGGGAAUAUUGCACAAUGGGCGCAAGCCUGAUGCAGCCAUGCCGCGUGUAUGAAGAAGGCCCUAGGGUUGUAAAGUACUUUCAGUCGGGAGGCGUUACCGACAGAAGAAGCACCGGCUAACUCCGUGCCAGCAGCCGCGGUAAUAC
rnacentral:rRNA from 1 species